UAAAUCUUGUUGGAAAAGAACUAGACGUGAUGAAGCAUAUUCUUAGGUCCUACUACUUGCUAUGAGUACUCCACUAGGGUAGUGGACUGGUACUACUAGCAGACAUGGCUUACGAGUUACGACCAUACUGAAUUUCCUACUUAGCAAAAAUGACCCCUGAUUACUACCACUAACUAGGUGGUCAUAGCCCGUGGCCGGUACAUGCAUAUGGC
rnacentral:lncRNA from 1 species